rnacentral:rRNA from 1 species
AUGGAUUUGGUGUCCAGCACAUGUGGAGUUGAGAUCAGAGUAAUGACAUCCUGUAUGCGCUUGGACACCCAGCAGAUUGAAAAUAUAGAAGCAAAGAUAUCCAAUACGAGGCCACGAUGCCCGACAGAGAUGCAGCCAAUACGUGCCCAAUCUUUAUUUCUUGAUAACGAGGACGGAUCCAAGGUUGAGUACUGGGUGUGGAACCCCUUCAGAUCCAAGUUGGCUGCUGUUGUACUCUGUGGUGUGGACAACAUCUGGAUUGUCCGAGGAAUUACAGCUUGGGGACUUGGGAGGCGACCGUAA